rnacentral:rRNA from 1 species
UACGUAGGGUGCGAGCGUUAAUCGGAAUUACUGGGCGUAAAGUGUGCGCAGGCGGCGUCGCAAGUCGAGUGUGAAAGCCCCGAGCUUAACUUGGGAAUUGCGCUCGAAACUACGAUGCUGGAGUGUGGCAGAGGAAGGUGGAAUUCCACGUGUAGCGGUGAAAUGCGUAGAGAUGUGGAGGAACACCGAUGGCGAAGGCAGCCUUCUGGGCCAACACUGACGCUCAUGCAUGAAAGCGUGGGGAGCAAACAGG